rnacentral:rRNA from 1 species
UACAUGGGGUGCAAACGUUGCUCGGAAUCAUUGGGCGUAAAGCGCGCGUAGGCGGUUACUUAUGUCGGAUGUGAAAGCCCCCGGCUCAACUGGGGAGGGUCACUUGAUACUGAUCGACUCGAAGGCAGGAGAGGGAAGCGGAAUUCCCGGUGUAGUGGUGAAAUGCGUAGAUAUCGGGAGGAACACCAGUGGCGAAGGCGGCUUCCUGGCCUGUUCUUGACGCUGAGGCGCGAAAGUGUGGGGAGCGAACAGG